UACGUAGGGUGCGAGCGUUAAUCGGAAUUACUGGGCGUAAAGUGUGCGCAGGUGGCCGCGCAAGUCGAGUGUGAAAGCCCCGGGCUUAACUUGGGAAUUGCGCUCGAAACUACUUUGCUGGAGUGUGGCAGAGGAAGGUGGAAUUCCACGUGUAGCGGUGAAAUGCGUAGAGAUGUGGAGGAACACCAAUGGCGAAGGCAGCCUUCUGGGCCAACACUGACGCUCAUGCACGAAAGCGUGGGGAGCAAACAGG
rnacentral:rRNA from 1 species